rnacentral:rRNA from 1 species
UGGGGAAUUUUGCACAAUGGGCGCAAGCCUGAUGUAGCGACGCCGCGUGAGGGAUGAAGGCCUUCGGGUUGUAAACCUUUUUCGCUCAUGGUCAAGCCGCAGCUUUGGGUUGUGGUGAGGGUAGUGGGUAAAGAAGCGCCGGCUAACUACGUGCCAGCAGCCGCGGUAAUACGUAGGGCGCGAGCGUUGUCCGGAAUUAUUGGGCGUAAAGGGCUUGUAGGCGGUUGGCCGCGUCUGCCGUGAAAUCCUCUGGCUUAACUGGGGGCGUGCGGUGGGUACGGGUUGACUUGAGUGCGGUAGGGGAGACUGGAAUUCCUGGUGUAGCGGUGGAAUGCGCAGAUAUCAGGAGGAACACCGGUGGCGAAGGCGGGUCUCUGGGCCGUUACUGACGCUGAGGAGCGAAAGCGUGGGGAGCGAACAGG